GAAAAUAUGUAUUUGUAACUUCAAGCUGUUAAAUUUGUAGUGAUUUGUUAUGCAGCAAUGGAUGACUAGUAUAAUGGAUCAACUCACUUAAAUUUGGGAACUUCAGCAUGAAAAUAGCCUGCUGAAAGAAUUCACUUUGAAAAUGCCACAAAACAGACAAUGGAAAAAUGAGGGUCAUCAGAACUACAUCUUCCUAAGAGGGAAAGAAACACCCAAUAACAUCUUGGCAGGUGCUGCAUAAUCAUGCCUCAAAUGACUUUCUGAAGAUAAAAAGAAAGUGGUACUUGCUUGCAUAACUGAACAUAUCUGCCUGAGUUGUUUUCCUACAGAUGUUAUCCUGGGAAUAGAAACAAAAUUGUUCAUUCCCUAGCAGCCUUCAAGAAGCACUGUGAUCUAGGGCAGCACAGAGCCAGCAAUGAGAGACAGAAUGACAUUCACAAUUCUAGAAGAAAACACUGGAGUGGAAUAUACACAGAAUGGCUGUUUGGUCUCAAGACUGCAUGAAUUAUUAUCCGGCUAUGCUGGAUGUUCUAAUUCCUUUCUCUCAGAGGACUGUAGGUAGAUACAUAUGCUGACUACAUAUGUGGAUAACACUGUCGAAUGCCAGUUUUCACUAAUAGUGUUUGUGUUAAGCUCUCUAAACUUUUUAGGCUGGCACUAUUUGUGGCCAAAAGCAUAUUCUAAAGUAUAAAUCCUUGAGAGCAGUGACUGUCUCUUAUUCAACUUUGUAUUUGCAGCUUGAUCCUAGUGCAUAUGCAGUAUCAUAAAUGCUUUUGACAUUAAAGAUCUUUUAUAUUCAAGCUAUAGUUACAACUCAAGGGAGCUUAAGAGUAGGGAUUAUAAAAUACCAG
rnacentral:lncRNA from 1 species